UACGUAGGGUGCAAGCGUUGUCCGGAAUUAUUGGGCGUAAAGAGCUCGUAGGCGGUCUGUCGCGUCUGCUGUGAAAACUCAGGGCUUAACCCUGAGCCUGCUUCCGAUACGGGCAGACUAGAGUACUGCAGGGGAGACUGGAAUUCCUGGUGUAGCGGUGAAAUGCGCAGAUAUCAGGAGGAACACCGGUGGCGAAGGCGGGUCUCUGGGCAGGUAACUGACGCUGGAGGAGCGAAAGCGUGGGGAGCGAACAGG
rnacentral:rRNA from 1 species